rnacentral:rRNA from 1 species
UACGGGGGGGGCAAGCGUUGUUCGGAAUUACUGGGCGUAAAGGGCUCGUAGGCGGCCAACUAAGUCAGACGUGAAAUCCCUCGGCUUAACCGGGGAACUGCAUCUGAUACUGGAUGGCUUGAGAUUGGGAGAGGGAUGCGGAAUUCCAGGUGUAGCGGUGAAAUGCGUAGAUAUCUGGGAGAACACCCGUGGCGAAGGCGGGCAUCUGGGGGAUUCCUGACGCUGAGGCGCGAAAGCUAGGGGAGCGAACGGG